rnacentral:rRNA from 1 species
UACAGAGGUCUCAAGCGUUGUUCGGAUUCAUUGGGCGUAAAGGGUGUGUAGGUGGCGCGCUAAGUCGGGUGUGAAAUUUCGGAGCUUAACUCCGAAACUGCAUUCGAUACUGGCGUGCUUGAGGACUGGAGAGGAGACUGGAAUUCAUGGUGUAGCAGUGAAAUGCGUAGAUAUCGUAAGGAAGACCAGUGGCGAAGGCGGGUCUCUGGACAGUUCCUGACGCUGAGGCACGAAAGCUAGGGGAGCAAACGGG